CAGCACCUCAAGUGGUCAGGAUGAUUAUUGGGCCUAAAGCAUCCGUAGCCGGCGCUGUAAGUUUUCGGUUAAAUCUGUACGCUCAACGUACAGGCUGCCGGGAAUACUGCAGCGCUAGGGAGUGGGAGAGGUAGACGGUACUCGGUAGGAAGGGGCAAAAUCCUUUGAUCUAUUGAUGACCACCUGUGGCGAAGGCGGUCUACCAGAACACGUCCGACGGUGAGGGAUGAAAGCUGGGGGAGCAAACCGGAUUAGAGACCCGGGUAGUCC
rnacentral:rRNA from 1 species